rnacentral:rRNA from 1 species
CAGAGGUCUCGAGCGUUGAUCGGAAUUAUUGGGCUUAAAGGGUGCGUAGGCGGUCCUGUCAGUGCCUUGUGAAAUCCCAUGGCUCAACCAUGGAAUUGCUCGGUAGACCACAGGACUUGAGGUCGGUAGGGGUCGCUGGAACGUCUAGGUGGAGCGGUGAAAUGCGUAGAUAUCUAGUGGAACGCCAAAGGUGAAGACAGGCGACUGGGCCGACUUCUGACGCUGAGGCACGAAAGCGUGGGUAGCGAACGGGAUUAGAUACCCCGGUAGUCCACGCCCUAAACGAUGUGCACUAGAUCGUGGAGGCUCUGACGCCCCCAUGGUCGAAGUUAAAAUGCUAAGUGCACCGCCUGGGGGAGUACGGUCGCAAGGACUA